GGGUCGAACGGGGGCGGCCGUGAGGUAGUUUAGGGGGAGGCCUAGGUAGGGGUAAGAAGAAGGUUAGUCGGGCGUUCGGAGGAGGGAGCUAGGUAGGUCGGUCGCGUGGAGAGAACAAGCAGCUAGGGAUUGGUGGCGUGGUAGCGGACGAGAAGGGCAGCGAGCUUGGGAGGUCAACUCGCGGAGGAGGAGUGGAGUAGAGGGAGUGUGGCCGGUGGUCGUGCGGAGCAGCGGUAGGUUUCGGUGGAGCAGGGGCGUAGGGGCUCGAGGGAAUGUACCGUAGGAGCGCGUGCUCGAGAAGUCGUCGGAGCGCAGCGACCUCAGUUCGGCGGCCGGCGGGCUCGGGGCACGCGGAGACGGAGUUCCCGGAGGAGCAGGGGUUGAUCACAGCGGAGGCCGGAGGUAGGCGGAAGUUGGCGGAUGAAGCACGCGGACGCGGGCGCCCGUAGGCUCCGGCGUCGGUGGAGGAGCAGGUCCUGGCGGAGGGGCGCGGCCGCUCGCGGUGGCGGCCUCGAGGAGGCAAGGAGCGGGCUUGGUCGUCGCUGCGGCGGUAGAAGAAGGGCUUCCUGGAUCUGCUCUUGCGGCGGGCGCCAUGGGGGCUAGAAGGCGCCGCGCUGGGACAAGGCGAUUCCGGGGACGCGGAAAGACGGUACGGGGCGGCGACGACCACCUACGGGGGGUGAGCAGGGCCUGGAGGGGACGUCGUGGUUCAGGUAGCAGCGGCAUAGAGCGACGAGGCGGUACAAGGACCUCGGCGCCGUGGGCGAGUAGGAGCCGAAGCCAGCUAUCCUGUACGUGACUCGGUGGCAACUGGUCGCGGCUCAGGUCGCGGGUAGAAGACGAAGUAGAGCGCGGCGAAGGGAAGGGGCGUAGCGGUGGUUCCGGAGCAGCGGCCUCGGCGCGGUUCAAGGAGACGAAGCGUGCACACAACUGGCGCAGAGAAGGAGCGAGUGGACGGAGCAGGAAGAGACGAGUGGUCGCGGGGAGCGCAACUGGUCUUGCUCGCUCUCUGCGAGCGAGCGAAACGGAGUGCGGGAGUGCCCGGUCGAAGGCUAGGCCGGGUUGAAAACGUCCGGGCUCCACUACUCGCGGGGUCAAGAGAACACACUUCGGGUCAAAUGUCAAAGCCGAACGUCGUGAAAAAAGACAAGGUUGCUAAAACGAUAAUUAGUUCACUCCAACUCAAAAUAUCCUUUCAGGAAAAACCAGUACGUAUAAUAUAGAGUGAUUGGCACGUAGCCAAAUGUUACUAAAUUUAUACAUUUUACGAAUCUUAAAGUAGAUCAAAGUGUUCUACGUUGAAAGUAGGUACAAAUUUUACUACAAACUUAUAUUAAACGUAUUUACUGAACAAUUUUACUAAAUUAAGUAUUGAUUUAUUGGUAUCGAGUCUUAAAUUAUUAGAAAUAUACGAUUACCCCACCUUUUUACGUAUCAAAUUGUACCAGGGUAAUGAAACGUACAAAUUGUUGAGAUUUUAUACCAUAUCCCGUCUUGUCAUGGUUUAAGUAUUAUACGUAUACUCCUAAAAAGACCUGAACUACGAACAACAAAGCCGGAGUAAAUUUGAACGGAUCUAUCCAUCAAAAUAAUACGAAGUGGGGAACGAUACAAAUUGUUGUAAAUUAUAACAACUCAUGGAAUGGCCCUCACUUGAUUUAUUAGCUUACGCCACAAAGCAGUUGUACGUAGAACAAUGUACAACUCGAGGUGAAUUGAACAUCAAAACAAACACGUGAAACGGUACGGUACGUAUAAAUUUGGCCUGUACGUGGUAGCAACCAACACGUAGUAUGGUACAAAUACGAACACAAAAAUGGUACAACGAACGAAGAAAGGCCAAACGAAGAGAGCAAUCGAAAUCAAAACAAAACCUCAACAGUCCUAAGCAAGCUGAUGCAGGAAAACAUAAGAAGUACCUAAGUUAGAAGAAGGAUUGCUCUUGAAAAGUCCGUUCUACUGGUAUAGGAGCUAUAGUGAAGAUAGAAACGAACGAACAAUAAGCAAGAUAGCGAUACAGUACGAUGGAUGGUGAACAAUAUAGUAAGGAGGGUACAAAGGUACAGUUCGGAGAUUGGGUGACAGGAUCGUUUGGCAACAAAUCGAUUCAAUGGCGAAAACGAAUCGGGGAGAAUAUCGCAACAAUCAACGUCCACUUCAACUUCAAACAAGUUACAACCUUGUACCGAUACAACCCUAUAGUGUAAUAGAGAAUAAAAUUAAUUACGUAGAUAUAUGAACCAUUUCCCACCUUCCGAGCCGGAAUACGGACCACAAAACAAGGUGAGAACGGUGGGAUCAAAAACAGUAUGGCCACAAUACAAGGAACUAAAACGCAAGGAAUGCGCCAAUCCAAUUACCCUGGGGGUACUAUCAAGCGAAACUUAUUUUGAGGACGUCGUUCCGGGUUGGAACCAAAAUGUAAACGGAUAGAUUCGGAAAAGGGAACCCAAAACGUCUGGGCUCCCAGUAGAAAUAAAAUUGGGGGGCCGGUCACGAGAAGACUCACAAGCAGGUUGGAACUCGGUGAACGCCACGGUGGGGAAGUGGGCCCCAGAAGCCAACGACAUACAUCACAAGUAAGCCACACGGGAAUCUUGUUCUAUACACGUCGAGGAUAGUCCUAUACAACUGUGUCAGCCCGCCAGAACGACCAGAAUAAAAUGGUAACAGCUUUACAGAACAUUAGCCCAAAGGUUCUGACUAGCCCAGAAGGGCCCUCUUCCUUAUAGGAAGCAACUAGCACUCUCGAACACGACCCGAUUCAACCCUGUGGGGAUGUCCCAUAUUUGAAAACUCUCGGCUCGGGUACCAAUACACCGUAUACCCUUAAACAAUUAUAGGCCAACAUCUCUUGAACCGUGAACUGAAUUAAUUUUACUUAGUUGGCGGACACAUCGGCACUACCAGAGAAAAGCCGCCUCAGGCCCUUCAUUUGUGCCAAAACCCAAUACAAACUUGUAUUCAUCAAAGUCCUAGUGAAGAAAAAGUGAAGAUCGAAGUACUGACAACGCAUCCAAGACUAGAAUGAGAAUAAACUCAUACAAUCGGUGGUAUAAACGAAUCGUGAACGACGUUGAGGUGGAGUAAUGGAAUAGGAUGGGUAUUCGAAUUUAUCAGAACUAGAGCGCCCACACUCUAACGACUCAGGAGCACUGAGUGCCUAUGUAGGUUUAUCAACGUCUACGGCUACUAUGGUCACGUCCACUACGAUGGCUCGAGUUCACCCUCAAGCUGCUUCUGGAACCAACAAUAAUACACAGAAAAUGUCUACUAGUUAUCACCUCGGAUCAACCCUGCUAGCCCCUAGAUCGCAAACCCCAAAUAGAAGGAAAAGUAAACCUAAACUGGCAUGAGCCAGAUACUCACAUAGACCUACUACGUACUUAAUAAAUACAUAACACACUGCACCCCUCACGUUCGGUUGAGAUAAAUAGGUACAGAAUAAAUAAUGUACCCUACAAACACUUCUACUGGGAAGAACACUGUUUUGGUGAUACGCCAAUACGGAGAUUCAGCACGGAGCUGUGCACCCUCUAUAUCGGCGUAGCACCCGCAAUAUUAUCCAACAUGGAUAGAAAAACAAUCACACCAAAUUAAGGAACAUAAAUAACAACGAUUAUUAUCGUAACAAAAAACGAAGUAAUGAUACUUAGUCCCAGGACAACAACCGCUGCUCGGAACAAGCUGGUAACCACUACAAGGAAACUUAAAAUCAUGGUCGUUCUAGCUACUACAACGACACUUACGAUGAUUCUACUGACUACAACUCGCACUCCGACGGCAAUCACCACCUCUACUAAGAACACCACAAGGUAACUCAUCACCCGCGCUACAACCAUGGUUUCAACGACUACUCCUACAACCACGACGGUCGUAUGAACUACGGUUUAGCAGACCACAACCAUAACGACCCUUACUUUUAGAAAGACUAACACUUCUAAACGACGACUUUUUAAAGGGUGGACCUCCCGAACUAAUACCGCUACGUAACGUUCUACGGAGAUCGUACCUCCUCCACGGUAGACUCCUACCACUAAAUGAAGACAGCUAAAGAAGAUCGGGGAACUGCGUCCUCCACGAGGAUAGCAGGGUACUAAAAAGAAGUCUGGGACUUUCGUGUUGGUAUAACGACAGGAGUGUUAUAGAAGGUAGUAGUUUGGGACUUUGACCUCAAUAUAACCACAGUAGUAUCCUUGAGGGCAGCAGUUUGUGACUCUCACGUCUUCCACGAUUACAACGAUUCCAACUAAACAAAAAGAAGCGAUAAUGCUCCAACGUGUGCUUGGCACCCUUUGCUAAUCAAACCCCAAAACGGACAUAGUAAAAGCAGAGAAAAAGAAAGAGAGUAUACUGAUAACAACAAUAACGUUAUCAAAAUUAGGUACAGGAGAAAACACAAAAGGAUCACUGUUCGGCUACAAAGUUUUAUCGCUUACACUACGGUCACAACCAAGAUAACGAUUUCGCAAACAGGGGUGACCGUACGAGUUGAGUCUGUCACGAGCACAACAAAAUAUAAGAGAUACAGUCUUCAUGGAACUGUGACUGUUCAACUAUCAAGGGUCUACCCACUACUGGUUCUAGGUACUACCCUUAUAACGACGGUUACACGAUGUCACCAAGUACUCUAGUCCCCGACUACCAAAACUGGUUUAAGAAAAGGGAUGAAAACUAGGCGGCAGUAAACACCGACGGUACUUCGGAUCACUUCUUAGACCCGUAACCACGAACUAACAAGACUUAAACUCCAAAGCAGUAGAGCUCACAGAACUAAGUGAGGCGCUACUUUCAACCUCACUGUGUCAAUCUAAGAAAUCCUGAUACUGUCUAUUGUAUUUCUUCGAGACCUCCCUCAGGUCGCAUAUGUUCCGGUUUGACAAGAACGGCCGCGUAUAACUACCAAAGAGAACGCUCAAACACGCCCGCGGCGCCCUCGUUUUGUGCACUCAUAGGCAAAAAUAACUAAAAAAUCAACAAAAACAACGACCCUCCUACCACAAGGACAUAAAAGUUAUAAAAACAACACAAGGACAUAAAGCUUAAACACUACAUACAGCCGCAGGACGCUUACCUCCAUGGAUCUGAACGGACGGACGCCGGGUCCCGCACCGAGGUGGUUGUCGGACCAUCUCGGGUAGAAGUGGUCGUUGGUGAGUUCUGGGAGCACUCCCAGGUUCGGAACGCUCCUCCUGCUGUGGUUCUGGAGGAUACCCCGCCGGAGCGAUCCGACCGAGGGUUCCUCGCCUCUAUAGUUACGGUCCCCGUGGAGCGCUCCAGACGUACUGCACUAGGUACUUCUGGUUCCGGUCCACCCGCGGUCGCCCGCGUCCCAUGGACAAAGGAGAAACCACGAUUUCCCCGUUCGUGUACGCUCCUCAGGGCUCCGCAGUCCGUUUCCAAAGGUAUAAUCACGUUGUUCUGGUUCUGGUCGUCCUGCUGUCCUGCCUCCAGUGGCGUCUCGGGUACCGCCGUAGUGGUGGUCUCGGAAACCGUCCGCUUCUGGUGGACAACAGUCCUAUUGAACAUGAUCAACAGAGGGAAGUUUUGACAGGCAACACCCUAGGGAAGGGUGGAUUGUAAACCCUUCUCCUGGUCCCGGAGAUAUUUAUCCCGAUCGGUGGUGGUAACGUUCCCCUCUUGUGUAAGCCUGGUAGGAGUUUGUGGUCGAGUAGCUCGAGUUCUUGUGGAGAGGAGUCCUCCAACAAGUAGGUAACAUGACUAAGUAGGAGUCGGGUGCUCCGUUAGGUGGUAUCGUGUGACGUCAUCCCAUAAUGUG
rnacentral:rRNA from 1 species